GGGUGACUUUUGAUGAGGAAUCUGCCUAUUAGUGGGGGACAACAUCUCGCCCUGGAUGCUAAUACCGCAUACGUCCUACGGGAGAAAGCAGGGGAUCUUCGGACCUUGCGCUAAUAGAUGAGCCUAAGUCGGAUUAGCUAGUUGGUGGGGUAAAGGCCUACCAAGGCGACGAUCUGUAGCGGGUCUGAGAGGAUGAUCCGCCACACUGGGACUGAGACACGGCCCAGACUCCUACGGGAGGCAGCAGUGGGGAAUAUUGGACAAUGGGGGGAACCCUGAUCCAGCCAUGCCGCGUGUGUGAAGAAGGCCUUAUGGUUGUAAAGCACUUUAAGCGAGGAGGAGGCUACUUUAGUUAAUACCUAGAGAUAGUGGACGUUACUCGCAGGAUAAGCACCGGCUAACUCUGUGCCAGCAGCCGCGGUAAUACAGAGGGUGCGAGCGUUAAUCGGAUUUACUGGGCGUAAAGCGUGCGUAGGCGGCUUAUUAAGUCGGAUGUGAAAUCCCCGAGCUUAACUUGGGAAUUGCAUUCGAUACUGGUGAGCUAGAGUAUGGGAGAGGAUGGUAGAAUUCCAGGUGUAGCGGUGAAAUGCGUAGAGAUCUGGAGGAAUACCGAUGGCGAAGGCAGCCAUCUGGCCUAAUACUGACGCUGAGGUACGAAAGCAUGGGGAGCAAACAGGAUUAGAUACCCUGGUAGUCCAUGCCGUAAACGAUGUCUACUAGCCGUUGGGGCCUUUGAGGCUUUAGUGGCGCAGCUAACGCGAUAAGUAGAC
rnacentral:rRNA from 1 species